GGUGUGGGAUUCACUCAAUAUUAUAUGCUGAGCGGGAAAGUUGAUAUCAACAGACGCCAUGAUGUGAUACCGGUAAACAUCUUGAACAUGAAUCGAGAACAGGAGUUGAUGCAGAUAUUCUGAGGAGAAUCUUCCAAUCAUUGAAAUAUAUUUCAUGAUAGUCGUGAAGAUACAGAAGUUGUGAUGGUGUGUUGAUAGGCUGUCUUCAACUUGCCAUAUCUGAGAGUUCCAACAUGCAGGCCUGGAUUAAUGUUUUAUCACAACAAAUGGAUGGGACAGUAGAGUUGUUACGAACAAUAUGUGAUUGUGAUGACCAAGUACUGAACAAGUGGAAGAUUAGAAGAAGGUCCAGAAUUCAAUCAUGUUUUUGAUUCUAAGGCGCAGACAGCAUGGAGAUAGUCCUAUUAUUCUCCCAUUCAUCUAUGAUGGAGAAACUUGUGUAAAUGUUUACAGUGUUCUCCCUAAUAAGGGCCCACAAGUCUGUAUUAAUUUAUCAGAAUAUAAAGUCCUUCACAGUACUGACUUUAAAAUUCAUGUAGAUUGUCUCCAGAUUUUUCUGAGGAAAAGUGCAUAGUUUACAUGUGUGAAUUUUGAAUAUAUUUCAUUCUUGUCUGCAAAUGUUGCCGAAACCUGUUAUUGAUGCACAAUGCACAUAGUCAUGUUAUGCAAAUGAUAGACCUCCUUUUUAAUUACAUGUCCUUAAGAUCAUGUCAACUCCUUUGUCUUAAUUGUAUAUACAAUUCUAGCAUUUAUAGCAUCAUUUGUAUAGCACUUGCUAGUUUAAUAAGGAUUUUAUUUUUUAAAAACUUUCAUUUGACAUGAUUGAUCUAAAACGGCCAAAAUUCACAAAUCUAUUUAAAUCACAACCUGACCUUAGGCCAGAAAAGUGCCACAGUGGGUUGAUAUUUUUCUCUUGGAUCUUGAAAGAAAUUCUUUAUGCAGCAGUUUCCAAAUAAAAUGUACUCUCAUGGCCAGGGUGGGACUUCACCGAGAACUUUUUAACAUUUCACAAUGCAAUAUUUGUGGAUUAGAAGCUGUUGCAGUUUCUUUAAGUUUUCUCUCACAUCUUGUUAUAAUUAUAUUUUAUAUUUUUGGUCGGGUUGCACAAUGUGCAAACAGUUUAUAAAAUGCUGAAUGACUGGUGGGCAAGCGACAAUAGCGUCCCUGUAAUAGUACCUACUUUGUGUAAUCAACUCCUUUCACACCUCUCACUUGAUGUUCCUCAAACUUUGUACAGUUGUUAGGGAUACAUCGAAGAUGUGCGUGUAUCUUUUUGAAAGUGAUCAGACAUUUUUUGAAAAAUUUACAUGUAGUUAAACUUCGUCAUUUUUUAAGCAUUUCUUUAAUCGACAGUAUCUAUUUUGUGUAAUCAACUCCUCGUAUACUUCUAAUUUGACAUUCCUCAAACUGUGUACAGUUGUUAUGAAUACAUUGAAGAUGUGCAUAUGUGUUUUUGAAAGUGAUCAGACAUUUUAAAAAAAAAAAUGUACAUGUAGUUGAACUUUAGUCAUUUUAAAGCAUUUCUUGAAUAGAUGGUAACUAUUUUGUGUAAUCAAAUCCUCAUGCACCUCUAACUUGACAUUCCUUAAACUUUGUACAAUUGUUAUGAACACAUUGAAGAUGUGCAUGUGUCUUUUUGAAAAUGAUUAGACUUUUUUUUUUUAAAUUACGUGUAGUUGAACUUGUUAUUUUUUAUGCAUUUCUUGAAUAGAUGGUAACUAUUUUGUGUGAUCAACUCGUGCACAUCUAAAUUGAUAUUCCUCAAACUUUGUACAGUAGUUAUGGACACAUUGAAGAUGUGCAUGUGUCUUUAUGAAAGUGAUCAGACUUUUUUCAAAUAAAUUACAUUUAGUUGAACUUUGUCAUUUUUUAAAGGAUUUCCUGAAUAGUUGGUACCUAUUUUUUGUAAUCAACUCCUCUUACAGCAUUUAUUUGACAUUCUUCAGACCUUGAACAGUUGUUAUGGAAGCAUUGUAAAUGUGCAUGUGUCUUUUCAGAAGUGAUCAGGCAUUCUUUGAAAAAUUUACAUGUGCAUGGUGAAGUUGAACUUAGUCAUUUUUUUAAGCAUGGAACUUUAUGUAACCAACUCAGCUUUUACUUAACAUUUUCCAAACCCUGUACAUUAUAGAUGUUAUAAAAACAUUGAAGAUUUACAUGUAACAUUUUAAAAAUGCUUCUCUUUUCUUUUUUUUUCUUCUUUUUUUGUUGAAAAAUUCUACCUUUAAUUUGUCAUUUUUCCAGUAUGUUUCUACUGUUGUUCCUAUGAUAGAUAACAUAUUUUACAAGAACCUGGUCAUUUCUGUUUUUGAAUCUCUCUUUUUUUUAAUUAGUAUUAUUGAAUAUGUUAAUUACUUGAUAUGUCAUUGUUCUUGAAAUUAUAUUAAUUGAAUUAUUAUUGUGUUUUUGUUUUGUAAUAUAACAGUUUAUAUAGGAUCCCUUAAUUUCGAGCAGACAGUGCCAGAAGUGUGCCGCAAACUGUGUGCCAGAAGUGUGCCGCAAGUUUGCCGCAAACUGUGUGCCAGAGGAAAAAUUUGCAUACGAAAAGUAUACUUGCGGCAAAUAUGCCGCACACUGUGUGCCAGAAGUGUGCAGCAAGUGUGUGCCGCAAGUUUGCUGCAAACUGUGUGCCAGAGGAAAAAUUUGCAUACGAAAAGUAUACUUGCGGCAAAUAUGCCGCACACUGUGCCAGAAGUGUGCAGCAAGUGUGUGCCGCAACUGUGCCACAAACUGUGUGCCAGAGGAAAAAUUUGCAUACGAAAAGUAUACUUGCGGCAAAUGUGCCGCAACUAGUUGCGGCA